AUGUCUGUUGAAAGAAAAGGGAGAUAACAUUCCCUUGAUAAGGAUGGAAUUACGGUGAUCAAGCCUUGACCAUAUUUUU